AUACGGAAGGUCCAGGCGUUAUCCGGAUUUAUUGGGUUUAAAGGGAGCGCAGGCCGGUGUGUACGCGUGACGUCAAAUACAGCCGCUCAACGGUUGUCCGCGUCGCGAACUGCAUGCCUUGAGUACGCUGCAAGUGGGCGGAAUUCGUGGUGUAGCGGUGAAAUGCUUAGAUAUCACGAAGAACUCCGAUUGCGAAGGCAGCCCGCUGUUGCGUCACUGACGCUGAGGCUCGAAGGUGCGGGUAUCGAACAGGAUUAGAUACCCUGGUAGUCCGCACUGUAAACGAUGGACACCCGCUGUGUGGCCUUUUUUGGUUGCGCGGCCAAGCGAAAGCAUUAAGUGUCCCACCUGGGGAGUACGCCGGCAACGGUGAAACUCAAAGGAAUUGACGGG
rnacentral:rRNA from 1 species